rnacentral:rRNA from 1 species
UACGUAGGGACCGAGCGUUGUCCGGAAUCAUUGGGCGUAAAGAGCUCGUAGGCGGUCUGUCGCGUCGGCUGUGAAAACCUGGGGCUUAACUCCGGGCUUGCAGCCGAUACGGGCAGACUAGAGUUCGGCAGGGGAGACUGGAAUUCCUGGUGUAGCGGUGAAAUGCGCAGAUAUCAGGAGGAACACCGGUGGCGAAGGCGGGUCUCUGGGCCGAAACUGACGCUGAGGAGCGAAAGCGUGGGGAGCAAACAGG